rnacentral:rRNA from 1 species
UACGGGGGGUGCGAGCGUUGUCCGGAAUCACUGGGCGUAAAGGGCGCGUAGGUGGUUUGAUAAGGGUGUGGUGAAAGUCCGGAGCUCAACUCCGGAUCUGCCGUGCCGACUGUCAAACUCGAGGGCUGUAGAGGCAGACGGAAUUCCGGGUGUAGCGGUGGAAUGCGUAGAGAUCCGGAGGAAGACCGGUGGCGAAGGCGGCCUGCUGGGCAGUAGCUGACACUGAGGCGCGACAGCGUGGGGAGCAAACAGG